UACAGAGGUCCCAAGCGUUGUUCGGAUUCACUGGGCGUAAAGGGUGCGUAGGUGGCCAGGUAAGUUCGGUGUGAAAGCUCGGAGCUUAACUCCGAAAUGGCAUUGAAUACUAUCUGGCUAGAGGUUCGGAGGGGAGACUGGAAUUCUCGGUGUAGCAGUGAAAUGCGUAGAUAUCGAGAGGAACACCAGUGGCGAAGGCGGCGAUCUGGGUCGAUACUGACGCUGAGGUGCGAAAGCGUGGGGAGCAAACAGG
rnacentral:rRNA from 1 species